AGCAGAGUGGCGCAGCGGAAGCGUGCAGGGCCCAUAACCCAGCGGGUGAUGGAUCGAAACCAUGCUCUGCUA
rnacentral:tRNA from 1 species